rnacentral:rRNA from 1 species
GUGCCAGCCGCCGCGGUAAUACCGGCAGCCCGAGUGAUGGCCGAUCUUAUUGGGCCUAAAGCGUCCGUAGCUGGCUGCGCAAGUCCGUCGGGAAAUCCACUCGCCCAACGAGUGGGCGUCCGACGGAAACUACAAGGCUUGGGACCGGAAGGCUCGAGGGGUACGUCCGGGGUAGGAGUGAAAUCCCGUAAUCCCGGACGGACUACCGAUGGCGAAAGCACUCUGAGAAGACGGCUUCGACAGUGAGGGACGAAAGCGCGGGUCUCAAACCGGAUUAGAAACCCGAGUAGUCC